CUAGCUUUAAUGCAGGUGCCUCCAGCACUUGUUUUCUCCUACCCAUCAACGGACCAGCAGAAGAUUCUCCCCUUCUCGUCUCCAACCAAGAGCUUAGUCUGGUUUCUUGAGAAGAAAAAGAAAAGGCUUGAUCCAUGGAUGGCUGUGAAGACAACUCUUUCCAUGAAGACAGCUUAAGGUUCCAACUUCCUUCUGGGUCUAUUGCUCGUGGCUAUGCUAAUCCAGAAGAAGUUGACCCAAGAAAGCAAGACAGGUAUCCCCAGGUGGUCUCUGGGCUCCACCCUCAUCAGUGUUUCUGGAUGCAAGUUCAGUGGUCUCCACUGAUGGAAAACCCUGUGGUUGGAAUGUGAGCUGGAUCCUACCAGACCAUACUGCUUCCUGCCACUUCUAUCUACAGAGCCCCAGUCUUCUUGUGUUGGCUCUAUAGUUGGCAUCCUUCAUGAUGUCCUCCUGGCUUCCCAAACACCACUAGAGCUAUUCCAAGUCACAAGUCAGCUAUUACCACUAUUGGUGAUCUUCAUCACCACUAACAAUACCUUUCACCUGGGGACUGAAACAACAGAAGAUGCUGAUGAUAACCCAGUUCUUGGCACACAGCAUCUUCCUAAGUCUUCAACCAAUCAUAGUGGGUCUUAAAUGGCAAGUUCCAAGACAGUAAAAAGAGGAGCCUGGCUUCCAACUCAAGUCUCCCCUUUUGAUCAGCUGCCAACUUUGAACAAGCUAUUUGACCUCUCUGGACUCAGUUUCUCCAUCUGUAAGAGUGAAGGUGCUGACAAAGCCUUGCAGGGCUGGCACAGGAGAAUAGUAAGUGUAGAGUAUACACAAAAUAAUACUAGCCAUGACCAAUGUUCAGCAAUGCUCCUAUUGUCUGGCCUGAACUCUCUAGAGCACUUAUAGUGCAAGUUGAACAACAUUCCCUUCUGGUCUCAGGCUUUCAGGCUGUGCCUAGCUAGCCUCAUUGUCUCCUCACCCAGACUCAGCUCCAGGCUCUUCCUGGAGACAGAGUAACACAAGUACCCCAAAUUUACAAACUAUGCUCCUAACUGUUUCCCUUACAGGACUUCUCAGAGCCUAACAGUUUCACUUCUUUAUUUGUUUAUAGCUUAAUACCACCACCCCUAUCUGGCACAUGUCUUUAGGGCAAGACACAACUGCCUGAGUUGCCUGCAUGCAGUAGAUGCUACGUGGUCACUUGUUCUCUCAAUGACACCUGGUUGUCUCUGACCCUGCCAUUUCUUCAUCUAAGUCUGUCACAUCUUCCUUGGAGAACACAGCUGUAAUCAAUAGGUAGAGGUGAACUCUGCCUGUUACUCCAUCUCAGAGUUGUCAGUGCCUCUCUUACCUUCCAUUGCCCUCCAAAUUACCUCCCAUCCUAGGCCUCACCAUGCCUUCUGGAAAUUGUUCUUUGUGUUUGUUCAGUUCUGCCCAGUGCUUGUCUGAGAACCCAAACACUGCCAAGCUUACCAAGGACCCAGGGAAGGUUGGCCGGCUGAACCAGGAUUAGAGAAGCUUCAGUUGUUCUACAGCACUGUGGCCUCAUGCCCAGGGCUGGAAACCCCAUGAGGCUUUGUGGGAAAUGCUCUCACCUUGCCUGAGUCAAGGUUCAAACCCUUGCUUGAAGGAAAAGGGAGAGGGCCUGAAGGAUGUUAAUACCUGCCCCCAGGUCUUGUCUGCAGCACCCAUGGCUUCUCUUGACCUGGCUAGAGAGCUUACUUACACCCCCCUCAGCACAUUGCUCCAGCUUGCUCUCACACAGUUACAGGAGAGACUCCUGGCCCAUGUGCCAUCUCCAGAGGUUACCCCAGGUCUCUUUAAGCACCUAUGCCUUCUCUGAAGCAGGAAGAAGGCCUGACACAUACUGGGCUGCAAGACAGAGGAUGUGCCACCCAGCAGUCAGACACAGCAGAAAUGAGGCUGGUGAGCCCAAGGUAUGAAUGUGGGUAGGCCGUGCUAGACCUAAAUCAUCAGCAAGGGUUCUAGAUUGCUGGUGACUGUCUCAUUACAGAUGGAGACCUGGCAUCCUCAGAGAAAAGCUACUGCCCAAGGUAGGCACUUGGUGCUGUCCUAGAAGCCUGAGACCCAGCCUCCUUCCUCGGAAGCCACUUUUGCAACAAUGUUCUGUCAGCCAGCAGAGACUUCACCCCCAAUGCACUGGUCCUGAUUCAGUGACCUGGUGAGUUUUCCAUUAAAGGUACUGAUGAAAUCAAUGUUUCCCUUGAGACUUGUAGAAGAAAUCCCAGGUUCUCUGAUCUCAGGCUCACCAGCCUUUCCCACGCCAUACUCACCAAACUCCACUGCAUUACAGUUGGUUAAAAACUCGGGCAAGUAGAAAAAUUCAGGUGUCAGCUCCCUGACGUCACUCAUGUUCUCCUUGGAGGCAGACUCCCAUGUGUUCUUCACACUGUGGAACAUUCUAUCAGCCACAUCAAAACUUCCACCCUGUGGGAGAAAGGGUGACAUGAAGCCACCUGUGUGUGUGUGUCUCCCUCUAUCCAUUCAGCCGCCAAGGAAGGAGCUCUGAAGUCAGGAAUGAAGUAACACCUCCAUUUUACAGACCAGAAAACUGACACCCAAGGUGUGCUGAUUUCCCCAAGACUAUCAAAGCUGUGAAUGCCAGGACUGGGGUCAAACCUAUGAGUACAACUGUAAAGGGCAUGUUUUGCGCUGGCAGUUCCUAAGGAAAUCUCUGGAACUGGUACAAAUCUCUGGAACUUGGCCUACUGUGUGUGUGUGGGGGGGCAAAGGUUGAAGAGGACUCAGCUCUUCCUAGAGAGAAGGACCCACCACAUACCUAAGGCAUGUCACCCCUGGGCAACCUGGUAGACAAGGACUGAGUGAUGCAUUUUCUAAUCCACUUGAGCCAUAGGUCAUUUUUCUGCACAGGGACAGGAACACUGAGAUAUCCGUCCCCAAGAGGUCUCAACCAUAACGCAUAGCCCCCACCCAUGUCACUUUGCUCUGUGUUAAAAUCGGGAGACAAUGUCCACCAUCAAAUGGAAAUGGAAAUAGAAAUGAAGUGGGGCAAAUCUAAAUAAAUCUGCACCUAACGAGUCACUCAUUGAAAUGUA